rnacentral:rRNA from 1 species
UACUAUGUUACGACUUAUCUCAUCUUAAUAACGAGAGUGACGGGCGAUGUGUACACAUUUUAGAGCCAAAAUCAUAAAAAUAAUUCUUAUUAUUAAUUACUAUUAAAUCCACCUUCAUAAAAUAAUUUCAAACUUUAAUCCAUUUAUUUUAUAAAUAAUGUAAUCCAUCACCACUUAAUUAUAAACUGCACCUUGACCUGAAAUAAAAUUAAUUAGAAUUUUAAGAAAAUUAUCUCUAAAAAGAUCUUCAUAACAAACGGCGGUAUACAUAUUAAAUUAUAUUAAGUAAGGUUCAACGUGGAUUAUCGAUAAUGGGACAGAUUCCUCUAACUAGACUAAAAUGCCGCCAAAUUCUUUAAGUUUCAAGACCAUACCUAAUACUACUCAAGCUUUAAAUUUUAAAUCCGAAAUAAUAGGGUAUCUAAUCCUAGUUU